rnacentral:rRNA from 1 species
UACGUAGGCAGCAAGCGUUGUUCGGAGUUACUGGGCGUAAAGGGUGCGUAGGCGGCCGUGUAAGUGUGGUGUGAAAUCUCCCGGCUUAACUGGGAGGGUGCGCUACAGACUGCAUGGCUAGAGUGUGGGAGAGGAAAGUGGAAUUCCUGGUGUAGCGGUGAAAUGCGUAGAUAUUGGGAAGAACACCGGUGGCGAAGGCGGCUCACUGGCCCGUAACUGACGCUCAUGCACGACAGCGUGGGGAUCAAACAGG